rnacentral:rRNA from 1 species
GGCCAGACUCCUACGGGAGGCAGCAGUGAGGAAUAUUGGUCAAUGGGCUUACGCCUGAACCAGCCAAGUCGCGUGAGGGAAGACUGCCCUAUGGGUUGUAAACCUCUUUUGUCAGGGAGCAAUUGGCGCUACGUGUAGCGUUAUCGAGAGUACCUGAAGAAAAAGCAUCGGCUAACUCCGUGCCAGCAGCCGCGGUAAUACGGAGGAUGCGAGCGUUAUCCGGAUUUAUUGGGUUUAAAGGGUGCGUAGGCGGAAUGCCAAGUCAGCGGUAAAAUCGCGGGGCUCAACCUCGCUCCGCCGUUGAAACUGGCGUCCUUGAGUGGGCGAGAAGUAUGCGGAAUGCGUGGUGUAGCGGUGAAAUGCAUAGAUAUCACGCAGAACUCCGAUUGCGAAGGCAGCAUACCGGCGCCCAACUGGCGCUCAUGCACGAAAGCGUGGGUAUCGAACAGGAUUAGAUACCCGUGUAC